AAACCAUUAAUCAGAAAUCAACAAAAUGAAGGCUAUUAUUCUUAUUUGCAUUCUCUUUGCUUCCCUGCUUAUCUUGUCCCCUGCAAUUGCAGCUCGCGAACUGGCUGAUGAGAGUGUUAAUGCAGGUUCUGGUGGCCAUGCCGUGAAUCCCAAGAUUCCCAACAAGCCUAUAAUAUGCGGAAAUGAUCCUAAGGAUCCCGCACCGUAUAGCAAAUGCAUAGGGAAAGUGAAACCGAAGCCCAAGUGUUCUAAAUACAAUAGGCGCGAGUGCGAGCCAUAACGGAACUUGAAUAUUAGAGUUUGGUUUGAUAUCAUAAGAAUAAAGCUUUUUGAGCUCACUCCAACUCUGCAGUGUGGAGAUGUGUAAAAUCAUGUUACCGUAUUUUGAUAUGAUGUACGUGUGCCAAAAAUAAAAGAGCUGACUUGAUUAUUUGGGUCAGCUUGUUUUCUUACUAUCUAA